rnacentral:rRNA from 1 species
GUGAGUAACACGUGGGUGAUCUGCCCUGCACUUCGGGAUAAGCCUGGGAAACUGGGUCUAAUACCGGAUAUGACCUCCUAUCGCAUGGUGGGUGGUGGAAAGAUUUAUCGGUGCAGGAUGGGCCCGCGGCCUAUCAGCUUGUUGGUGGGGUAAUGGCCUACCAAGGCGACGACGGGUAGCCGACCUGAGAGGGUGACCGGCCACACUGGGACUGAGACACGGCCCAGACUCCUACGGGAGGCAGCAGUGGGGAAUAUUGCACAAUGGGCGAAAGCCUGAUGCAGCGACGCCGCGUGAGGGAUGACGGCCUUCGGGUUGUAAACCUCUUUCAGCAGGGACGAAGCGCAAGUGACGGUACCUGCAGAAGAAGCACCGGCUAACUACGUGCCAGCAGCCGCGGUAAUACGUAGGGUGCAAGCGUUGUCCGGAAUUACUGGGCGUAAAGAGUUCGUAGGCGGUUUGUCGCGUCGUUUGUGAAAACCAGCAGCUCAACUGCUGGCUUGCAGGCGAUACGGGCAGACUUGAGUACUGCAGGGGAGACUGGAAUUCCUGGUGUAGCGGUGAAAUGCGCAGAUAUCAGGAGGAACACCGGUGGCGAAGGCGGGUCUCUGGGCAGUAACUGACGCUGAGGAACGAAAGCGUGGGUAGCGAACAGGAUUAGAUACCCUGGUAGUCCACGCCGUAAACGGUGGGCGCUAGGUGUGGGUUCCUUCCACGGAAUCCGUGCCGUAGCUAACGCA